GUUCCCUAAAUGGCCCCCUCAAGGAUUGAACUCACAACCCUGCGAUUAGCAGGCUAAUGGUUAAACCACUGAGCUAUCUCAUUCCCCUCCUCUUUAUCAAGGUCUGCAAGUGCUUGAAACCUGUUCUUUAACUGGAAAACGAAGGCUUUCUGUAUUUCAGGGGCCUUUAGCUUGUCAAUGUCAUAAUGUCCCUGUCCCUUGUUUGGUGGACCCACACUUCUCAGUUUUAGCUUGAUGGAGGCUGUCACAAGGUGGUGGUCGCUACCAACAUCUGUACCCCUUCUCACUUUCACAUCUAUCAGUAAUCGUUGCCAUUGAUCAUGAUAUGGUCAAUCUGGUUCUUAUCUCUGCCAUUUGGAGAACACCAUGUUAGCUCGUGAAUUUCACAAUGUUGAAAUAGAGUUCCGCCGAUGACUAGGUCAUUCAUAUUACAGAAACCAACAAGCCUCUCUCCAUUUUCAUUCAUGGUGCCACACCCAUGGCUUCCCAUUGCUCCGUCAUUGUUUGUGUUGUCCUUACCAACCUUGGCAUUCAGGUCUCCCAUGACGGUAGGUCAUGGCGUGGUACUCUCUCUAACUCUGCCUAUAAUGUAAGGUAGAAUUUGUCCUUUACUUCUUCAUCACUGUCAUUUGCCAGAGCAUAGCACCGAAUCAGGGUGAUAUUAUGUUUCCCUUUCAGUCUGGCUCUCAUAAGUCUGCUGCUGAUGGAUUUCCAUUCAAGCAGGGAAUGCUCCACUCCCUUCUUCAAAAGGAGAACACCACCCUCAUGGUGUUGUCCAUCAUCCCAUCCAGAAUACAGCAAAGUUUCUCUCGAGGCUGUUGCUAAUCUUCCUGAUCCCAUCCAUCUGCUCUCGCUGACACCCCGGAUGUGUAAGCUGUAGCGUCUCAUCUCUGCUGUGACCUGAGCUAGCUUCCCUGUUUCGUACUUUGUCCGUAUGUUCCAAAAAACAAGUCUGGUUUUUGUCUUGGUGUUGAGCACUUCAGUCUUCAUGCUAGUGGCUUCCUUUCGGCUGUCACCACUGGCAGUCAUACGGGUCAUUGACUCCUGAAAGCCAUUACACACAGUAAUGGUCGAUUUCUCCGUCACUUUUUUCUGUAACAUAUUUUGUUUUUUACGGGACAGGGUUGUUAGCUCUGUGCCUAACCCUCAACCUGGAGGACCAGGGUGUUUGUUUUGUCUGUCCCCUUUCCCACAGACCAAUCCGGCAUGGUUGAACCUACCAGGAGCAAAAAGCCCCCGCCGACACAGACUCUGGGGAUCGUGAGAGCACACAAACUGUCCCGCCAUGACAAAGCAUGGACACCAGAGGACAUUCUGCGGGCAUAUGGAAUCCCUUUACGUAUAAUCAACAUCAUCAAAAGCUUUUAUUUCAGCUUUACAUGCAGUGUUGAUCACAGUGAGCUCAGUUUUGAAGUCAAAACAGGAGUACUUCAGGGAGUGUGUCAUGUCUGCAAUCCUCUUCAACAUUUCCAUUAGCUGGGUAAUGCAGUGUACAACAGAAGACAUGCCAAGAGGCAUUAAACGGACACCCAUCCCUUGAAGACCUGGACAUCACAGAUGAUCUCGCUCUCCUAUCACAUACCCAACACCAUAUACAAGAAAAAACAAAUUGACUCAAUGCAUUCAGCCAGCAAAUUGGACUGAAAAUGAACUGCAAUAAGACAUAAUAAGAAAUAAUAUUGCCUCACCAUCACCAGUACGGAUAGAGGAUUAUGUUCUCACCGAUGUGGAAAUACUCACAUAUUUGGGCAGCACCAUCAGCCAGGACGGUGGAACAAGCCAGGACAUCUGGAACAAAAUCAAUAAAGCCAGGAACACCUUCAGGAGCUUAAAUACAGUCUGGAAAUCAUCAACAUACAAAACCAAAACCAAACUCGAGAUUUAUCAGAGCUGCGUCCUUUCAACAUUACUUUAUAGUGCAGAAUGCUGAGGAAUGAGAAAGUAUGACAUGUCCAAACAGUCUUCAUUCUGUAUAACUUGCCUCAGAAAAAUCCUCCGUAUAUUUUGGCCCAGAACGAUCUCAAACCAAGAUCUACUGACACAGUGCAGCCAAGAGGAUCUGAGCACCAUCAUUGCCAGGAGGCAUUUGAGAUGGAUUGGUCAUGUGUUUUGGAUGGAAACUGAUUCCAUCACCAGAGCGGCAAUAAGAUGGACACUUGAAGGCAAGCGAAAACCAGGCCGUCGGAAAACAACAUGGCAAAGAGCUGUGGAAGCCGAGCUGAAAAACUUGGAGCACAGCUGGGGAACCAUUGAAAGACUUGCCAGAAACAGACAGGAGUGGAGGAGCUUUGUUGCUGCCCUAAACGCCAGAGGCAUAAUAGGAACAUGAUGAUGAUGAUGAUGAUGAAAAAUGAGUUUGAGCACAACAGAGAAAACCUUCUCUUCCUCUUAACUGUAGGACUAAGAUAACAUGCUUACCGUGUCUUUGCCCAACUAGAACCACACCUGGCAAGAAUAAUGCCUUGAUCCCGAGGAAACUAAUCACUGAAGAUGAGGCACACUAUAAUUCACAUCUGCUAACCUACAAACUACCUGCAACUUAUAUGUCAAAUGGUUUAUCAGUACCUCUCAGAAUCUGGCUUCAUGGGCCCACUUCUGCAGUUAUUUCAUGUAUAGACUUUACUUCAGCAUGAACAUUCAUAUAAAUCAGUGAGAUUACUCAUGUGAGUAAGAAUUGCUGGAUCCAGCUCUAUGAAAGCAUUCUAGCCAACCUGUUUCUCUCCAAAAGAUUUAUCAAUCAGAAUGAAAUUCAACAGCUCUCUGUACCAAAAUGAAACUUAAAAUUGCUGUUGAACUAAUUAAGAAACUGUGUUUAAGUUUAAAUGUAUACUCAGGCAUUAGCAUUCAAAUGCUUUGAACCUUCAAAACCACACAUUUGUCCAUGCAAACUGCAUGGAUAUCUGUACCAUGUUUCUUCAUAGAAUAUUGAGCAUUACAAGGGAAUUGUUGCUAAACCCAGCCCCAGCCAGGGGUGCAGAUCCGUUUAUUUGCCAAAGGCUUAAAAUUCCACUCCAAGUGGGUCCAGGUUCACCAAAUCCACUUUCCUACCUUACUGAUGUUGAAAUACUAGGGAGAAACUACAAUACAUAUAUAAUUAAAGUUUAAGCUGUAUUCUUUGUUACAGAAAGUCUGUUGAAUAAAGAUGAUCUUGCAAUAAGUAGCAGGGAAAAGAUACUGCUCUUUUUCAGAGUUAGAAUUUCAGAAUUCUCAGGGACAAUGAAGGGUGCUGCUACUGGAAAUACAUAGUCAAACUUCACUCUCUCUUUUGUAGGACUAAAUGGAAACUACUUCUUUAGGAUCAAACUCUGCAAAGUCUGAGGCUAUGUCUACACUACAAAAUUAAGUCGAGCUAACUUACAUUGGCAUACAGCCACUCUAGUAAUUACAUCACUUGUGCGUGUCUACGCUUUGCUCCUUUUGUCAGCGGUGCAUAUCCUCAUCAAGAGCACUUGCAUCGAUUGUGCUGUCAGUGUGGGGCACUGUGGGACGGCUCCGGAAAGCCAGUAAUGGUCAAUGUAAGCAACGCAGUGUCUACACUGACACAGCAUCAACCAAACUACAUCGAUCUUGACUCUCUGCUGCUCGUGGAGGUGGAGUAUUAAGUCAGCAUAGCGGACAGUUAUGUCGGUGGGAGCCAAAUUUAAGUGCAGACACUUCUGUAGUUAAAGAUGCCUUGCAUCGACCUAACUCUGUAGUUUAGACCAGGCCUGAGUUAAGAAUCACUAAAAAAAAAAUUGGAGGCUGUACCAAUGGCUUCUGCGCACUCCCCUGAUGUGAGAGUUUUGGCCAGUGGGUCUAUGGGCCUGAUCCAAAGCCCUUUGAAAUUAAUAGAUGCCCAGUAACCCAGUAGGCUUUGGAUCAGGCUGUAAAUCACUCCUCUAAUUCUGUGGCAUGAGUCCCAUGGAGCAUUACUCCAUGACAUACACACAGUUCCUCUGUGUCGCUUCUCCGCAUCCUGCACAGUAGAACUAUGUGGUGGUAGCGCUGCAUAUAGGAAUGUCCACCCCUGUGGAUAGCUGGGCCAGAUUUAGGCCAUAGUGUCUACUGUGCAUGUAAUAACACAAGUGACCAGGUUAAAAAUACAACUCUAGGGAUCUAUGGAUAUUUUUAAAAAUACAUUUAAUUACAAGGAACUUAGCAAAGGAGAGCCCAUGAUUUUCUUUUGAUAAAGGCAGCAGUAAAUUGUAAUCAGUAUUUUCAAAGAGAAAUGUAGAAGAGUGUUAUAAAUAUCACAUAGAUGGACUAAACUGAAAGAACGUCAUUUUGCUAUUAGUGUAUUUGUGUUUUUCUAUCUCCUGCAUGUGUAUUGCUGGGUUAAUACUUAGGGCAUGCAGGGAAUUCUGCCAAAGUAGCUUCUUAAAUUAAUAAGCAGGACUGAGUAGUGAAAGAAGAACUAUUCGUAUUUAACUUUUCAUUACCAGAAGCCAUACUCGGCUGCUGAAGAAUCAUUAAACAGCUGAUCCAAAGCCCAUUGAAGUCAAUGGAGGUGAGAGGGAGGGUAUCUUUCUAGUGACUUCUCUGGACCAGUCUCCAGGUGCUUGAUCAAUUACCUUCCAAAGAGGUAUUUGUAUUAUGGUGCCUCUGUCUUAACACUGUGCAGCCAGGUUAAUGAAGUCAUGGGCAUUUUGCAAGAUUGGGCUGAUUGUAAACUGUGAAGAAAUAAGGUAAACACAAAGCAAAUUUCACUCACUUGCCUUGUAAGUGGUUUCACAUUUUUUCCCCCCAAUGUGAUGCUAAUAAAUUAAGGAAAGGAUUAAAUAAUUUAUUUCAUUUAUCAAAGAAGUGAAACUGCCAUUCAAAGAGAUUUAUAGAAGUAGUGUGGAAAAUAUUAUUCUUAGAAACUGAGGUUUUCUUAGAGCAGGUGAGGGGAUGGGACGAUGUCAAUCCAUAAAAAUGACCAGUCCAACAAUGAAAUUUGCAAAGAAUUGCAAAUUAAUUUGAUUCACAUCUACAAACUCUAUCCUGCAACAUGCUGAGCUCCCUCAGUUCUGUGAAAUCAAUGGUGGCAGUUGAAGCACUCAGCACUGAUGCAGGAUAAGGCCCACAGAGCUUAAAUACUCACAUCUCCUUUUAAAUUUAAACACAGGUACCUAAAAUAGGUCAAAACAGUGGAUCAGGAUUCUCCAUCUGUAGACUCUUGAAAAAUGAAAAGGAUAAGCGGGUAAGAGAGUUUCUCCAAAUCUGUCUCUUGUACUAACUCUGACAUGUGGAAUGGGGGGUGAGAGUGCAGGGAGUGGCUAGAGCAGGGGUUGCCAACCCUUGGGCUAGAGGCAAAUGGAGAAGGUUUUGGAACAAUUUUUAUCGACACUAGAGCAGCUAGAAAGGUUUGAUUCAUAUAGGAUGUUUUGUGAGACAUAGUAGGAUAAGUGACUGUAGUCAGAUUCUGGUUUUGCGGGGUUUUUAAAAAAGUGCUUUUUGAAACGCUGAACAUUUUAGUUCAGAGGCUGUGUUUAUUAAAAAAAACCAAACUCUCUUUUGCAAGUUUAUUCUGUGCAACCUAUCAGCUCAGCUUCUGUUUACAGACUUAAGGUCUGCAAAACACUGGUCUCUGGUUUUACACUUGCAAACAGCAAGGGAAAAUAAGUGUUUGCACUGGCAACUAUUUGUGUGUGCACUUAAAGUCAUUUAGAUGUUCAGGUACAUGCUUUCUGGGUGCAGUCAAGUAUUUACAGUAGACAUGACUGACCUACAUUGUGCCAGGUUAAGGCUGGGCUUCAAAUUAGGCCCUUAAGCUAUAGCAUUUAACCAUGAACAUAGAAGUCAUAUUUCAGUGCAGCACACGCAGUGAUCUUAACGCUUCAAAUAAUCACACAAACUUCCACAGCGUUUUUUAGGUAUGGCUGUACAGUCAAACCUUAUUACUAAGAUGCUGUUGGGAUCAGCUAAUUUGGUUCAUUCUGUUUUGGUCAUGUAUAUUGUUUUUUACUAAUCAGCAGGGAUUCUGUACUUAACAAAAAAAAUUGAAUUUUUUAGUUAAUGUGCAUUUUAAAACAAAAAGUUAGUAAGUGAGCUUUGACUGUAUUUGUCACAGUUUUCCACAAGACACUGCAUUGUGAAAUGAAGGAUGUGCCUCCACUGUGUUUUCUCUUCGGGUUUUCUUUCUUUGGCUAUAAAUGAUGAUGGGAGGCGGGUAUUAAAUUUGAUGUACAAAGGAGCUAAUGAAAACAGAUGACAAAAGAUACAGCACUGCAGCAGGCUAGACAAUUGUUUUGUAUAAAUUUUGUCAUAUUAUUUUAUUUCAAAUAUUCAGCAGUCAGAAUCGUACCAAAUAAUCAUCUUUAUGAAGCACUGUUUCAGAAGAUGCCUAACCUUAUAAAGGAAAAUUAGAUGACAUUUUUCUGUUGGGAAAUGCUAAAGUAAAACUUAGACUUGAAAGUACUAUAAUGAGAAACUUUCAGCACACCGGCUUUCUAGAAUCAUUGAAUUUAGAGAUGGAAAAAGAUCUGUUAGAUCAUCCAGUCCAUCUCCUUGCUAAUGCUAGAAAAUUCUCACAAAGAAGAUAAACAUAGUCCAUGUACAGGGCCCUCGCCUGAACUAUUUCUAUACCCAAAAUGACUGUCAAGUGUAUUGCUAAGAUUGGAUGGGACUUCAGUGGGAGUUUUAGGGUCUUGAUCCUGCAAAGUCCUGAACACUCAUCAGGUUCUGACUAAGCAUUCCUGCAAGUUGCUGAGAUUGCUUAACUUUCACUAAAGUUAGUGGGAGUCAAGGUGUUUCAACAGCUUGUAGCAAAGGAAUGCAGGAUCUGGCCCCAGCUGCAUCCUUUUCCUUCGAGCCAGUAUGCAGGGAUGUAUACACUACUUUGUUUAAACAGUAGCACACGUGGAUUUUCAAGUAUUAUUUUUCGAGUAUCAAGCUAGUUAAUAUGUAUGUUUUGCUGUAUUGCCUAAUACUGUAAAAAUGUAUAAUCAGUACAGCUUUAAUUCUUGUAAAAUUGAAAUUGGUUUGUAAAACAAUGUACAAAUUGUGUUUCAUAGACAGAAAAGCUUGUAUUACUGAAUAUGUAAUAUAUGUGAAAUGAAUAUAUCAGUCUAUUUUUGCCAUGGAAAUAAAUAUUUGAAGCAA